rnacentral:rRNA from 1 species
UUGAUCAAGCUACAAAGAGCACAUAAUGGAUGCCUUGGUGCCAAUAGGCGAUGAAGGACGUGGCUAACUGCGAUA